UACAGAGGGGGCAAGCGUUAUUCGGAAUUAUUGGGCGUAAAGGGCGCGUAGGCGGCUUGGCACGUGGGUGGUGAAAUCCCUCGGCUUAACCGAGGAACUGCCGUCCAAACUGCUUCGCUUGAGACCGGGAGAGGUGAGUGGAAUUCCCAGUGUAGCGGUGAAAUGCGUAGAUAUUGGGAGGAACACCAGUGGCGAAGGCGGCGCACUGGACCGGUACUGACGCUGAUGCGCGAAAGCGUGGGGAGCAAACGGG
rnacentral:rRNA from 1 species